rnacentral:rRNA from 1 species
UACGUAGGGGGCAAGCGUUGUCCGGAUUUAUUGGGCGUAAAGAGCGUGUAGGCGGCCAUGUAGGUCCGUUGUGAAAACUCGAGGCUCAACCUCGAGACGCCGAUGGAAACCAUGUGGCUAGAGUCCGGAAGAGGAGAGUGGAAUUCCUGGUGUAGCGGUGAAAUGCGCAGAUAUCAGGAGGAACACCCGUGGCGAAGGCGGCUCUCUGGGACGGUACUGACGCUGAGACGCGAAAGCGUGGGGAGCGAACAGG